GCAGGGUCAAAUAUGCGUUCGGCGAUGGUUUUUUAGUCCGUCGGGCGUAAGCUGGCGAAAAAAGCACGAGGCAUAUCCUUCGUGGCAAGCGGCGCCGCCGAUCUGUUCGACUUUCAGCAGCACAGCGUCGCCGUCGCAAUCGACGAACACUUCGCGGACGUUCUGAUAGUUGCCGCUCUCCUCGCCUUUGCGCCACAGUCGACCGCGAGUUCGGCUAAAGUAAACGGCCCGCCCCGUCCGAAGGGUUUCCUCCCAGGCCUCGCGAUUCAUGUGCGCGACCAUCAAGACUUGAUUGGUGUCGGCAUCCUGUGCGAUGACCGUCACCAGAUCGUUGGGUCCGGAAAAAGCCGGCGGGUUGGGAUUCGUGAUGCUCACUUCGUUCAAGAUUCCAGCUUCGCGUGGGGGCAAUCGUCGAACAAGCGUCAGCAUAACGCGAGCGCGGCGGAUCAUCCAGACGGAGUGCGUUACAACCGUUGCCGCCCGCACCGCAGCAACACCUGCCAGCAAACGGGUGGCGGCGUUUUCGCCACGAGCCGUACAAGUGUUGAAAAGCGUGUCGGUUGGACGAUCCAUAACGUUCCGACUAACGGCGCAAUGCUUAACUUUCGCGGCCAGUUUGAGGCGCCAUGCCGUCCGCGCCGAUGGCUACGAAGACGGACCGACGCAAGCGCAGGAGGCACGCCAACUCACUCGCUCGAUGCAGGAGACAGCGUGUUCAAUAAGUCGUUGACCAUCGUGCUGCCGGUCCACAAUGCGGAAUCGCGGCUGCGGAAAAACGUCCGUGAAUUGCUGGAACUCGCCAGCGAGCUCACCGCGAAAUUCGGGGUGCUGAUUAUUGACGACGGCUCGACGGACGCCACGUACGAGGUGGCCGAGGAGUUGGCGACGUACUUUCCCCAGGUUUCCUUGCGACGUCAUCGUCAAUGUCGCGGCCUCGGCGCAUCCAUCGACUACGUCCAACGGCGCGUGCGAUCGGACGCGGUGAUCGUGCACGACGGCGUAACGCCCAUUAAUUCGCAGCAAAGUGCGAAAACUGUGGCGCCAAUGGAUCGACGCAUCAACGUCGCGCGGCGGCAAGGCGCCGACAGCAGCGAACAUGUCGCGCGAUGCGAUCGAACUUGAGAGUUACAAUCGAUCCAUGCGUCGAUGGAGCGCGUUCAUCGCCAAGUCGUCGGUUUCCAGCUGAUGAGCGUACCGCAAACAAAUGCCGCGGCGUCCGAUGUGGUUUCCACGAAGUCCGAACUUCGCGUACUGACGCAUCGCACACACAAAAGCGGGCAGGUGUGGGUCGAAUACCAGUGCCGCCGCGAC
rnacentral:misc_RNA from 1 species